rnacentral:pre_miRNA from 1 species
UAAAUACUCCCUCUGUCCCAAAAAAAAUUCUUAGAUUUCUCUAGAUAUGAAUGUAUCUAGUCACGUUUUAGUAUUUUGAUACGGCCAUUUCUAGACAAACCUAAGGCAAGAAUUUUGGGACGGAGGGAGUACGAU